rnacentral:rRNA from 1 species
CCUACGGGAGGCAGCAGUGGGGGAUAUUGCACAAUGGGGGAAACCCUGAUGCAGCGACGCCGCGUGGGUGAAGAAGUAUUUCGGUAUGUAAAGCCCUAUCAGCAGGGAAGAAAGAAGACGGUACCUGACUAAGAAGCCCCGGCUAACUACGUGCCAGCAGCCGCGGUAAUACGUAGGGGGCGAGCGUUAUCCGGAUUCACUGGGUGUAAAGGGAGCGUAGACGGCCGUGCAAGCCAGGAGUGAAAGCCCGGGGCCCAACCCCGGGACUGCUCUUGGAACUGUGCGGCUGGAGUGCGGGAGGGGCAGGCGGAAUUCCUGGUGUAGCGGUGAAAUGCGUAGAUAUCAGCAGGAACACCGGCGGCGAAGGCGGCCUGCUGGACCGCGACUGACGUUGAGGCUCGAAAGCGUGGGGAGCGAACAGGAUUAGAUACCCGUGUAGUC